CUUCUUCUCUAUGUUGAUGACAUGAUCAUCACCGGCGACGACCCUGAGUAUAUUGCCUUUGUAAAGGCUCGUCUUAGUGAGCAGUUUCUUAUGUCUGAUCUUGGACCUCUUCGCUACUUUCUUGGGAUUGAAGUCUCUUCUACCUCUGAUGGCUUUUUUAUAUCCCAGGAAAAGUAUAUCCAGGAUCUUCUUGCUCGUGCUGCUCUUACUGACGAGCGCAUUGUUGAGACUCCUAUGGAGCUCAAUCUUCACCUCCGUGCUACUGAUGGUGAUCCUCUCCCUGACCCGACGCGUUAUCGUCAUCUUGUUGGCAGUCUUGUCUAUCUAGCUGUCACUCGUCCGGACAUCUCUUAUCCGGUUCAUAUUCUGAGUCAGUUCGUCUCUGCUCCCACAUCGGUUCACUAUAGUCAUCUCCUUCGUGUUCUUCGAUAUCUUCGGGGCACGAUCUCUCACCGUAUAUUCUUUCCUCGCUCUAGUUCUUUACAGCUUCAGGCCUAUUCGGAUGCUAUGUGGGCUAGUGAUCCUUCAGAUCGCCGUUCACUU
rnacentral:rRNA from 1 species